rnacentral:lncRNA from 1 species
GACAAACUUGGGGUAUCAGUUUCUUCUACUCCAAGUUUGAGGGGGUGUAUAAGCCAAAGAGAACUUGAAACCUUGAAGUCUGAUAGUUCAGAUUCUUGUGGGCUUGCAUCAGAGCCUAAGACAGUUCUGACGAAGUCCAAUAAGACUGAAGAGCCCAUUGUGAAGCAGUCUAGUCAUCAGUCCUCUGUCUCAUCUGCAACUGCGUUCAACGUUCAACGAAGGUGCAACGGACGUACGACAGGACCAGCUCACGCUCUUCCAACGUUCAAUAGAUUCGCUUGUCUCACUCCCUUAGCUGUCAUGUGCUGACACAUCCUUAGAGAUAAGAUUGUCUUUUGAGUAUAAAAGGAGAGUGACGUUUUGUAACAAAAGGUUAAGCGAAAUAAGAU